UUUCAAGAGUAUCUGAGCUACAGCUACAGGUAAACUGACUAAAAGGUUUCUGAGUUACGGCUACAGGUGCCCGUGGGAAGAAAAUACAAAGGUACAGUUAAGGAAUACUUCCAAAACUGCACUCGGUCGAACAAUGAAUGGCAGAUCAUCAUGGAAAUUGAACAAGUCCAACUUUGCUUUCAUGUGCGCUUCUCGAAGCUUCUCGAAGCCCUGUGAUGCUUCGUAUGCGUACAAGUAUGCACCUCUUCAAGGGAAGAAAAGAUUGUAAAUAUGAAAGGUUAACCAUAAACAUUAUGAGAUAGGGGGAAAAAGAAAUCAUUGCAAGUAGGUGGUAUUCAACGAAACAAUGCCUAUGCAGUCGCAGCAAGUCAGCACAUACCUUGAGUAUUAGAAUAUGAUCUGCAUCUGGACGAAGGAUUGUUAGAAGAGGGAGAAACAGCCAUGUAGCGCAUGAGCACUGUUUCUCGCGCGGCCAUUCUACAUCUGCUGUUCGCUCUCACAGUAAACCAGUUGUUCCUCACUGUCGCACUGCGCUCUUACUUCUUCAAGUUAUGAGCCCAGCACGCUACCAGACAUCUCAAGACACGCACCCACACAUGCUCAAGGUCCUUGGGCUCGAAAUGCUUCUCCAAACUUUUCCAGACUCCAGUAAUGAAUGAAUCUUCCUUGUGGCAAAUCAGCAUAUCGUCAACAUAGAGAAGGACAUAUGAUAUAUGUGCGACUGCCUUUUUCUGUCUUGAAGUAGAGGCAGGGGUCUGCUUCGCUACGGCUGAAGCCCUCUUCAGAAAGACUUCGUUUGCCUUGAUGUUCCAUGCUCUCGCGGCCUGCUUGAGCCCAUAGAGGGAUCUCUGCAGUGUGCAGACUAAAUGUUCUGUACCUACCGAAACGAAAUCUUCGGGCUGUCUCAUGUAUACACGCUUUUCCGAAGGUCGAUGUAGGGGCCGCCAUGUUAGUAUCCCCAUGAUCGGCCGCCAUUGCCCGCCUUGAACAGGCGAAUCUGUCAGUUGGAAACGCUGCACCGUGUCCGCUUUCUCGGCUUUGCCUUUUCGCGCGUUUCCCUCGGGAGCCGUUUUCACAACGUAACCACCAUAUCUUCAUCUCUACCAGUACUUCCGUGGCAUGUGUAGGCGAUGACGACAACAAACACAGACGUGGAGAGGGUCGACGACACGUGAAGGUGGCCAAAGAUAGAAAGAUCACGUAAGUGAACGAACGGCAUCAUAACAUUUCGGGAUAGCAUUUCUGUCAGGAUGAGAUUUGUCUUUGUUACCAUUCACUCUUCGCAGGAACUAGUGAGUGAUUGUCAUCAUGACUACGAUGUACUUUUGUGUUCACUUUUCCAACUCUUGGGGUUAGAGAACGGGUAUUUCUCGUCUCAUAUCGCUCAUUGUCUAUGUGAAGUGUUCUUGUCUCUCUCGGAUUUUCAUUGUGCCUUAUGUAACAGCUAGUCUGCAUACUCUCUUCUAUCCCGCAUUAUCACUUGCUGUACUGCCUUAUCAAGUGUCUGAAAUCUGUAGUGCCGCGCUUAAGUUACACUCGCAGUACAGUGGCAAGUGACGCAGAACGUUGCGUCACUGUUGCAUCUCAUACUCAAUAUACUUUUUCUCUUUCAGUUGUGUACGAGCACAUGAUUAGCAAAGUGGACACUGAUAGACAGCCAGCAGCAAAUUACAGGGGAUUUGCAGAAGCAACGAAUCUUCUGGACUCUGGCCAUGUAGGAGUUCUGUUGUGUCAUGUUAACGGGAGUGCAUGCUUUUUAAAAGCAAACGUUAGAUCGUCCCAAACAGUAGCAAAAUCUUACAGGGUUAAUAUAGUAUUUGACAAUGGGAACGUAAAGGAUGUAUCAUGCCAGUGCCCUGCAGGGCUUGGAAAAACAUGCUCCCAUGUGGGAGCAGUUAUGCUGAAGGUGGCCGAGGCCACAAACCGAGGGUUGACAGGGAUCUCGUGCACUGACGAAAAAUGUGCAUGGAAUGCUUCAACUUCGAAAAAUAUUUUACCGCAAAAGAUGGAUGUUAUCUAUGACCACAAAAAAACUCUCAUAGAAAUUCCUAAGAUGACCUCGCAUGCGGCCUUUCUGACACAUUUUCAGAAGGCAUCGUUUACUCCUGAAUCACUCAAGGAGGAAGGAAGGUACAAUGCUUUUUGCAGUUCUGAAUCCGCGAGGUGCAAACCCGGUUCCUUGCAAAAGUCGAACGCGUCAACAUGGCGUGCACGGAGAUGAGCUCCGGUGCGGAAAAUGCAGAGAUUUCUAUGAGAAAUAUGUGGUCAUUGACGUGGUCCAAGCAAACUCCCUUCAGAAGCGCACCGGAGAUCAAAAAUCGAGCGAAUGGCACCACCAAAGAAAGCUACGAAUAACCGCAAGUACAGCUGGUUCGGUUCCUCGAAAAGCUGCGCCCGAGAAAUUGGUGGCCCGACACAUUAACCACACAUUCCAGGGGAAUGCAAGUACAAGGCAUGGAAAAAUAUGCGAGCCAAAAGCUCGCCCCUGGUACGAGGAGGAGAAUGGUUGCCACGUGCUUCUUUGUGGACUCUCAGUGUUGCCUGACGUGCCAUGGUUGGGUGCAAGAACCGAUGGAAUAGUUGAGGGACAGUGCAAACUUAUAGAAAUUAAGUGUCCUACACCAAAGACUAUUGAGAACCAUGGGUCGCUGUCCGGUCUGUUCAGGAGUGCUUCUUAUGACGUUACUGAAACCACUGAAGGUCUGCAACUGCGAAAACAUGGAAAUAAUAAGUACUACACACAGGUUCAGUUGCAGAUGUACUGUUGUGAAAUGGUGGCAUGCGAUUUUGUUGUGUGAACAAAUGACGAGGCGUAUGUUGUUGAAGUGUUAUAUGAUUAAUCAUUUGUUACUGAAGUUCUUCAGCAGCUAAAAACUUUCCACUUUCAUCACUUGUUGCCAGCACUUUCAGACAAGCAUGAAUAGUAUGUUGAUGAUGCCACGCCUCGUACUACAGGGUGUUACCCUAUAAAAGUCUACCAGUGCCGAC